rnacentral:sRNA from 1 species
GAAUUCUGCUGGCGCUGCAGCUGCAGAAUGGUCGGCGGUGGCGGGAAGCGCAGGCCCGGCGGGGAGGGGCCGCAGUGUGAAAAAACAACUGAUGUGAAGAAAAGUAAAUUCUGUGAAGCUGAUGUCUCCAGUGACCUUCGAAAAGAAGUAGAAAAUCAUUAUAAGCUUUCUUUACCUGAAGAUUUCUAUCACUUCUGGAAGUUCUGUGAAGAACUUGAUCCUGAAAAGCCAUCUGAUUCACUUUCUGCAAGCCUUGGACUUCAAUUAGUUGGUCCUUAUGAUAUCCUUGCUGGAAAACAUAAAAUGAAGAAAAAAUCAACAGGCCUGAAUUUUAACCUUCACUGGAGGUUUUACUAUGAUCCUCCUGAGUUCCAGACCAUUAUUAUUGGAGAUAAUAAAACUCAGUACCACAUGGGGUAUUUCAGGUAAAGGAUCUUUUCUUCGCCUCUAAAAUACAGCUGCUGUCCUGCUAAUGAGGAUAAAUAGUUA